rnacentral:tRNA from 1 species
CGUAGCGCAGAGGUUAGCAUGUUAGCCUAUGACGCUGAGUGCCUAGGUUCGAAUCCUGGCG